rnacentral:rRNA from 1 species
GAUGAACGCUGGCGGCGUGCCUAAUACAUGCAAGUCGAGCGAACGGACGGGAAGCUUGCUUCUCUGAUGUUAGCGGCGGACGGGUGAGUAACACGUGGAUAACCUACCUAUAAGACUGGGAUAACUUCGGGAAACCGGAGCUAAUACCGGAUAAUAUUUUGAACCGCAUGGUUCAAAAGUGAAAGACGGUCUUGCUGUCACUUAUAGAUGGAUCCGCGCUGCAUUAGCUAGUUGGUAAGGUAACGGCUUACCAAGGCAACGAUGCAUAGCCGACCUGAGAGGGUGAUCGGCCACACUGGAACUGAGACGCGGUCCAGACUCCUACGGGAGGCAGCAGUAGGGAAUCUUCCGCAAUGGGCGAAAGCCUGACGGAGCAACGCCGCGUGAGUGAUGAAGGUCUUCGGAUCGUAAAACUCUGUUAUUAGGGAAGAACAUAUGUGUAAGUAACUGUGCACAUCUUGACGGUACCUAAUCAGAAAGCCACGGCUAACUACGUG